rnacentral:lncRNA from 1 species
UGUUUGUUUGUUUUGUUUCAUUUUUGCUUUUUCUAAAAACAGUAUGCCUAUCUUGUCUCUUUAAAGUGUGUUUAAUCUUUCAGGAGAUCUCUGUUAUACGUGCAACUAGCAAGACAGGGGCCAUGCUCAGCUUCAUCUGAAGAAUCCAAGAUGCAACUGCAAGGCUUGUGCAAUGUCAUUUGAUAGUAUAUUUUCAUUUCAAGAGAAAGAAAGGAAGCAUGAAGAAAAGAUGAAUACAUAUCUGAGAGUGGAGCAAUCAACUUUUUUUCUAUGAAGUCCAGAAUAUAUGACCUCCCUAGAUAUAGAAAAAUACCUCUGUAUUUUUUUCUGAAUCAAGUCUGCAGCCAGGUUGAAAAA